rnacentral:lncRNA from 1 species
CAGGAUCAAUAUCUGGACUAUUUAGUCAUAGUCUGCAUGUUAUGUCACCUAAUAAAUAUGUUACCUGAUAAGAUGAUUUUGAGUAUCAAUCUUAAUUGUUGUAAUUACUACUCUUGUAGAGACGUAGGAUUUGCUUAAUCUCAUAUUCUGAAGUAUUUCUGCUGUUUUGCUAACUGAGUUGACUUGCUGUUUUGAUCCAGUUACUGGUAAAAUCACCACAAAGGUUGAUGUGUUUAGUUUCGGUGUGGUGCUAAUGGAGUUGUUAACUGGUUGGAUGGCGCUUGAUGAGGAUAGGCCUAAUGAUAGCCAAUACUUAGUUGCAUGGUUCUGGAACAUUAAAUCCUCUAAAGAGAAACUUAUGGCAGCCGUCGAUCCAACCUAAUGAGAGCCAAUACUUAGUUGCAUGGUUCUGGAACAUCAAAUCCUCUAAAGAGAAACUUAUGGCAGCUGUCGAUCCAGCUCUGGAUAUAAAAGAGGAAGCCUUUGAGAGCAGCAUCUACACCAUUGCAGAACU